UCAAAGAAACUUGACACAAAUGUUCACCACACGGAGACGACGUGCAGAGCGCUUGAUUCGGAUGACUAGCUUCAAGGUCAAGGUCACACUUAGGGGUCAAAGGUCAUAUGAGUGUGUUUCGUGUCCGCUCUGUAACUCUUGAACUGCUUGAAGGAUUUCAAAGAAACUUGGCACAAAUGUUCACCACACUGAGACGACGUGCAGAGCGCUUGUUUCGGAUGACUAGCUUCAAGGUCACACUUAGGGGUCAAAGGUCAUAUAUGAAUUUGCUUUGUGUAUAUUGCUCUGCAUUGCAGUGCUCUUGUUUUUAUUUGGCAGAUCCCUUUUUUGUUCUCUUACAA